UUGGGGAUUUUGCACAAUGGACGCAAGUCUGAUGCAGCAACACUGCGUGAAGGAUGAAGGUUUUCGGAUUGUAAACUUCUUUUGUGUGGGAAUAAUCUUGAAGGUACCACACGAAUAAGCACCGGCUAACUACGUGCCAGCAGCCGCGGUAAUACGUAGGGUGCAAACGUUAUCCGGAUUUAUUGGGCGUAAAGAGCUCGUAGGCGGAUAGGAAAGUUGGACAUUAAAGACCCAAGCUCAACUUGGGGACAGUAUCCAAAACUGCCUAUCUAGAGGAAUGCAGGGGAGAACGGAACUUACGGUGUAGCGGUGGAAUGCGUAGAUAUCGUAAGGAACGCCAAUGGUGAAGACAGUUCUCUGGGCAUUUUCUGACGCUGAGGAGCGAAAGCGUGGGUAGCGAUCGGG
rnacentral:rRNA from 1 species